GUUCUCGUGGGUGUCGGAGUCUCUGUUUGAUCCUUGUUCCCUGGCAACAAGGGGACAUUAGAGCAAACGUGAUGUACAGGCUCUUUGCUAUCAGGAGAUCUGGCCUGGUGCCCAAAGGACUGGAGGGGCUGUGCUCCAUGUGGCAGCCUUGAAGACCCACCCCCCGCUUCACAUGACUAGAAGCCCCCAGCCCCUGCCACAGGAAGGGAGUCACACAAUGAGGGGUCUCUAGCGCUCCAGGUGGGCAGUGCCUGGGAGCACCUGUAAGUGAUCCAGGUUCCUGCCUGCAUGCAUCACCCUGCCCUGCCCUCCAGUUCCUCGCUAUUGACUCAGGUUUGACUCUUGGCUCCGGUCUCUGGCUAUGACUUUGGCAUGACCCUUCUUGGCUCCAGAUGUUCGUUACCAACCCUGGCUCAGUAUUCUCCUUACCCUUCUCUAGCCUUGCUCCAGGCCGUCCACCCACGCGCUCCAGCAUUGCCGCCUCCUGAUAUUCCCCAACCCCUCGGAUUUUGACUACCCGGCUUUGAUCUUCAGCCUGUAUCAGGACUCUAGCUUGACAUGGACUUGGCUGAUCUUUGGUCUCUGACCACCCGGCUUCGACCUCUGGCCUGGACUUGGACUCUGGCUCUGGUUCUGCUUUGUCGAUGGACUCUGAUCUCCGUUUUGAUCCUGGUGUGUCCCUGGACCUUGAUUCUAGCAU